rnacentral:lncRNA from 7 species
GGAGAUCUCCGAACCUGUGCUGGGCCAGCAGCCACCAGGUAGCUGCAGAAGAUAGUAGGAUAACCAAGUCACAGCCUGCUCAUACUUCAUCCCUUUCACCUCCAAACCUGGAAUGGAGGACCACCAGGAGCUGCUUCAGGGUAUUUGUUGAGCAUUAGCUUAGAGAAGGUGCAUCUGACAGAUUGACAAGAAGUGGUCAUCUGUGAUUGUUUUUGUGCAGAACAUCAUGGAAAGCACAUGCAGCUUCUAUACCAGGACCUCCAGAUUGCUCACAAGAAUCUAUCUCCACCACAGGAAACCAAAACCAAAACUAUUUCCUCUUUCCUCAUGAGGCAUCCUGCCCUUUUCCUUUAAGAUCACAAGGCACAAAUAGGGAGAGCUACAUUAUCCCUUGCUGCUGGGAGAGUCAGAAAUUGAACUUAUGACCAAUGGAAGCCUCUUAGAUCAAGAGCACUUACAGCGCAGAGAAGUACGUAAAUAUACUGAUGGGAAGCUCAUGCAUACUGCGGAGCAGCACUGGUUCCACUGAAGUCAACAAGCUCCCUUCAUCAGAAGUUACAACGCGUUGUUUCCAUUAGCUAGGAUCUUUGCAGAAAUAGGAUGCAUCCAGUUUGAAUGGCAGUAAACAUAAAAUGUGUGUAAAUUUUGCAUAAAAAUGGAAAUGUCUCACAGUCAUGUAAAGGUGAACUAAAAUUUGGUUAUGUGCAGUUACAGCAGUUCCAUUAUACUGGAAACUGAUUUUCUAUGGCUGGAACACCAGGCCAUCUUGGGUUCUGCUUCCAAUCAGUAUCUUUUUAACAUAGCAAAGUUCCUACAUCUUCUUUUUGGACGUCUAGAAUUCUAUAUAUCAGACCUCAAAUCCAGAACAGACAAGACCAAGGAUAUAAUUUACAUCAGGUCUUCAAGAAGGAAUAGCUAGUUAGAAAAAAAGGACACAGUGAUUUUAAGACGACACUUCAUUUUUUUUUCUUUUUCUUUUUUUUUUAUCAGUGUGUUUGUUACUGUUGCUCAAAGUUUAGCAAAUGAUUAUCACUCCCAAAAGGGGCUCUGGAAAGGAGAUAAAUAUCUGUCUUGGGAAGAGACAGCAGUCAAAACUACCUGUUGAAUUGGGAAAUCAUGAAAUGAAAUACAUUUAUCCUGAAUGUGUUUUUAUUCUUUAAGAGGUCACAUCCAGACAUAGCUGUUUGAGUAUAUUUGAAGGCACCAGCACAAAGUUUCUACACAAAUACUAAUAUAUUUACACAUAUAUAACUCAGCAAAUAUAUAAUAAUCAGUGAAGUGGCUGUCCUUCAUGCUUAGAUGGAACUGCCCGGAUUUCAUUUAAACGUAAGUCAAUUUUAGCUAUAAAGCUCACUUUUGCCCAGCACGUAGAGUUCUCUUAAAAAGUAGCGUUCAUUUUGACAAUCAGGUAGUCCACACAAAGGCGAUUACCCAGUAAUUUACAAUGCAAUUUUCAGCCUUUGUUUUAUGCUCAGAUAAAGAAUCAAAUUAAAGUCUUAUAAGCCUUGGAAAAUUAGACUUACGGAGCAAAGAGGUUGAAUCGCCCUUGAACGCAAAAUUACUGAAAACAGAUUUUUCUUUCAUUGUUCAGAUUGUGCUGAAAUAUUUCUCCAGCUCCAAAUGCUCAGAGUAAUGAUAGAACUGUCUAAAUGAUUACCCUAUUUAAAGCCCCACUUUGCAGCAAUGUUCUUGGUGACUAGAAAGUGGUGAAUCCUCACAUUUUAAUUAAAACAGCUACCAGAGUUAGAAAAAUAAUUGGAAACUGAGUCUUAAAUGCAAGAAAGAAAAGAUAGUCCCUUCAUUUCAGAUCACCCCCCAGAGACACACCUACAUUGUUAAGUAUGCAUAUACAGCUUUAUCUUUUGUUUGCUUUAGUUUGAUAUGGAAACACGGCACAAAACUGUCACUUAGAUUAUAUUCCUGCAGUGAUUUCUUUUACCUCUUGCUUUAUUUGAAUCCCCUUUAUCACAGCAGAACUUGAGAAAAGCUGCCCUGUCGGUAACUAACAAGCCAUUUUUAGACAUCUGUUUACAAAUACAUUCUUAAUUUGAAUAUUCAAUUACUUUGAUUUAAACACUGUUUAUAUAAAUACAGGUUAUUACUAGUUGCAAAACUAAUGAAUAAUAUUUACAGGCAAAAACACUAAGUAUGGAGCUUGCGAUUAUCCUUUCUUACACUCAAAACUGUUAAUAAAUUCAA